GAUAGCAAUAUUAGGCAAUUGUAAUUUUUGUUCUUGUGUUGUGUGUUGUGGGUAAAAUUACUCUAGGGUGUUGUUCCCAUAAUAAAAUGUCGAUUAUUUCCACUAUUUAGCGAAUUUUGGCCAUAGUUUGGUACAACGCUGGACGCCCCCUAUC